rnacentral:rRNA from 1 species
UACGAAGGGGGCUAGCGUUGUUCGGAAUUACUGGGCGUAAAGCGCACGUAGGCGGAUUGUUUAGUUAGGGGUGAAAUCCCAGGGCUCAACCCUGGAACUGCCUCUAAUACUGGCGAUCUAGAGUCCGAGAGAGGUGAGUGGAAUUCCGAGUGUAGAGGUGAAAUUCGUAGAUAUUCGGAGGAACACCAGUGGCGAAGGCGGCUCACUGGCUCGGUACUGACGCUGAGGUGCGAAAGCGUGGGGAGCAAACAGG